rnacentral:rRNA from 1 species
AACGAACGCUGGCGGCAGGCUUAACACAUGCAAGUCGAACGAGAUCUUCGGAUCUAGUGGCAGACGGGUGAGGAACACGUGGGAACAUUCCUUUCAGUUCGGAAUAACGUUGGGAAACUAACGCUAAUACCGGAUACGUCCUUCGGGAGAAAGAUUUAUCGCUGAAAGAUUGGCCCGCGUCUGAUUAGCUAGUUGGCGAGGUAACGGCUCACCAAGGCUACGAUCAGUAGCUGAUCUGAGAGGAUGAUCAGCCACAUUGGGACUGAGACACGGCCCAAACUCCUACGGGAGGCAGCAGUGGGGAAUAUUGGACAAUGGGCGCAAGCCUGAUCCAGCCAUGCCGCGUGAGUGAUGAAGGCCUUCGGGUUGUAAAGCUCUUUUGUCCGGGAAGAUAAUGACUGUACCGGAAGAAUAAGCCCCGGCAAACUUCGUGCCAGCCGCCGCAGUAA